UUUCAUUUUUCACAGAAAUAGAAAAUCCAUGAAUAUGUACAAAACCACAAAACAUCCUGGAUAGCCAAAUCAAGCAUUGGAAAGUAUCCAUCUAGACAUGAGAAGAUGUGACUAAAGGAAGACAGCAAUGUGGAAAGGAACAUGGCCAAUGAUUAGGAAAUUACAGCAAUUCUAGAGCACAAUCCAUGAUUAGUACCAAAGAACUAUGGGUGAAAAUGACAGCAAAAUCAAUAAAGAGAAUUGUAAGGUCAGUAUGAAAAACAUUCCCAGUUCAGAUCUUAAUUUCAAGAACAAUUUGCCAUGACAUCUGUGUAGUGUCUUCAUGGAAGUUUAGCAGAUCUGACAGUUAAUUAAUUAUAAAGCAAGACUAGAGACUGGACACAGUGCUAGCAGAGAAAAAUUCAUCUCAUAUGUCAACACGUUUCAGUAUAUUCAUUUUCUUAAGCCUGAAAGACAUACCCCUAGUAAAUCAUUGUUUAUCUUUAAGCUCUAAAAGGAAAUCGAACAUGACAUAAACAAUUACCAAGAUAUUCUCAGAGAAAUGCAUUCUCAAAGGAAACAAGAAUAAAUUAGAACUAGGUGACA